AUGAACGCUGGCGGCGUGCCUAACACAUGCAAGUCGAACGGAGUCGUUUUGGAAAUCUCUUCGGAGAUGGAAUUCUCGACUUAGUGGCGGACGGGUGAGUAACGCGUGAGCAAUCUGCCUUUAAGAGGGGGAUAACAGUCGGAAACGGCUGCUAAUACCGCAUAAAGCAUUAAAUUCGCAUGUUUUUGAUGCCAAAGGAGCAAUCCGCUUUUAGAUGAGCUCGCGUCUGAUUAGCUAGUUGGCGGGGUAACGGCCCACCAAGGCGACGAUCAGUAGCCGGACUGAGAGGAUGAACGGCCACAUUGGGACUGAGACACGGCCCAGACUACUACGGGAGGCAGCAGUGGGGAAUAUUGCGCAAUGGGGGAAACACUGACGCAGCAACGCCGCGUGAUUGAAGAAGGCCUUCGGGUUGUAAAGAUCUUUAAUCAGGGACGAAACAAAUGACGGUACCUGAAGAAUAAGCUCCGGCUAACUACGUG
rnacentral:rRNA from 1 species